AGUGAACGCUGGCGGUAGGCCUAACACAUGCAAGUCGAACGGCAGCACAGGAGAGCUUGCUCUCUGGGUGGCGAGUGGCGGACGGGUGAGGAGUACAUCGGAAUCUACUCUGUCGUGGGGGAUAACGUAGGGAAACUUACGCUAAUACCGCAUACGACCUACGGGUGAAAGCAGGGGACCUUCGGGCCUUGCGCGAUUGAAUGAGCCGAUGUCGGAUUAGCUAGUUGGCGGGGUAAAGGCCCACCAAGGCGACGAUCCGUAGCUAGUCUGAGAGGAUGAAUAGCCACACUGGAACUGAGACACGGUCCAGACUCCUACGGGAGGCAGCAGUGGGGAAUAUUGGACAAUGGGCGCAAGCCUGAUCCAGCCAUACCGCGUGGGUGAAGAAGGCCUUCGGGUUGUAAAGCCCUUUUGUUGGGAAAGAAAUCCAGCUGGCUAAUACCCGGUUGGGAUGACGGUACCCAAAGAAUAAGCACCGGCUAACUUCGUGCCAGCAGCCGCAGUAA
rnacentral:rRNA from 1 species